AUGAAACUCCAACCUGAGAAAAAAGAUACAAUACAACAUACCACCAGCACCAUCAUCAUCAUAGCCAGCACCACGACCACCACCACCACCGUAGCAGCAACACCAAAUGCCACCGUCGCAGCACCACCAACCACCAUAACUAGCAGUGCGACUAAAUAACGUUAUUCUCAAUCAAAAUCCCUACUCUCUUGCUUAGAUUCCAAUAAUCAUUCCUUCACCACCAACACCAUCACCACCACAGGAACUAGCAUCAUCAACCUCCGCUAGCACCUAGUGUCAUUCAUCGCUACCCUAAUCAUUAUCUGAGUAUUUGUUCAAGAAAAGAGAGUAGAGAACAAUGCAGAGGUUUGAUAUUGACCAGUAUGAGGUUAUCGUGGAGGCCAUAUAAGAAACUUGACCAUCACACAUACUGCCCAUCUCCAGAUUCGAAGCAUUUUGGCAUUAAGUUGGGUUGCUAAAGCUUUUUCAAAGAUAGAUGAGUUAAUUAAGGAUUUAUCGAAGGCAUUGAAGUGCUGCAAAGUUGCUUUAGCAUAGGAGAAAGCACAAUCGAUAUUUGGCUCGAUUCGUAUGGUAAAACAUCUCAUAAAGAAAAGGUAUUCUCAUGCUCUUAAUAAACUUUUACAUAACUAGUUCUCAUUAAUUUAUGUCGAUGUUUCCCUUAUAAUUUGACCAGAUCUAAGACAUAGAUGUUAUAUCGCACAACUGAAAAACCAAGACACGCGUAGACAACCAGUAAAUUACUACUUUUAUCCGUUAUCUAGAAAGUUCUAAUGGUUUAACUUUUUUUUUUUGUUUUGAAUGCCGAGAUAAAGAAAAGGAAAUUAGUUUCUGGGAAGUUUAUUUUGUUCGUAUUUUAAGCUAGGAUUCUGCUCCUUUAGUUGUGAAGGAGCGUGCCUUUCUAUCAUCCGUCUUAUAUGUUUGAAUGUCGUCAAUGUAAAGUUUAUACUCAUCUUUGUUGAAAGUCACACUGUAUAUGUUUGUUGUGUACUAAUUAGAUGAGCAAUACAUGCUAUUAUGUUUUGCGGUGUA